ACGUGUGUGGUGCGUGUGGCAUGUGUGCUGUGUGUGUGAUGUGUGCGAGAGGGGAGAGGGGCAGAAAUAGAGGCGGGGAAGGGCCGGAAGAGCGACAGGAACCGGAGGCGGCGGCCGCGGAGGGGCGGGAGCUGGCGGGAGACUCGCGGCCGCAUGGGCCGGGUGCGCGCAGGGCCUCCCCGCGGGGCUGGGCCGCGGGAGCAGCGGACGAGACAGGAUUAAGACACAGCCCUGCCCGGCAGCCUCCCUGAGCGGGAUCGCAGGCCCCGCCCUGCUCCACGGACGAACUCUUCUUUCUCUCUCUGGAAACUUCAGAAACUCCUCUUUACCAUCGAAGUUCCAAAAUAAAUAAACCUUUGAAAAAUC